CUUGGUCAUUUAGAGGAAGUAAAAGUCGUAACAAGGUUUCCGUAGGUGAACCUGCGGAAGGAUCAUUAACGAAAUCGGACUUCGGUCUGGUGACGUCUCUCUUGCUGUGCGCCUUUUGGCUGCACGCUUGGGAAUCCACACACCUGUGCACACUCGGUUGGCGGGCUUCGGCCCGCCUCUCGCCUACACUUACUUUGUAUGUCUCGAAUGUCUAUUAUCUUAUGAUAAAAAAAUACAACUUUCAGCAACGGAUCUCUUGGCUCUCGCAUCGAUGAAGAACGCAGCGAAAUGCGAUACGUAAUGUGAAUUGCAGAAUUCAGUGAAUCAUCGAAUCUUUGAACGCACCUUGCACCCCGUGGUUCUCCACGGGGUACGCCCGUUCGAGUGUCACGUAAACCAUCGCCUAAGCAAAGCUAGCUUUGCUCUGGCGGAUCUGGACGCCUGCCGUCGUUGGCUCGUCCGAAAUGCAUUAGCGAGGGUGGUCUCUCUAAACCGCUUGGCGUGAUAUUUCCUUCUCGCCUGUUGGUUCGGUCUAGGAGACGGCUCUGCUCCGAAUCCCGUCGCGUCGACGGAACAUUACAAAGUUUGACCUCGAAUCGGGUGGGACUACCCGCUGAACUUAAGCAUAUCAAUAAGCGGAGGA
rnacentral:rRNA from 1 species